rnacentral:misc_RNA from 1 species
GUGAGUCAUCGAAUCUUUGAACGCACAUUGCGCCCCGCGGCAUUCCGCGGGGCAUGCCUGUUCGAGCGUCAUUGCAACCCUCAAGCGCGGCUUGGUGUUAGGCGCGGCCCCCGCGGCCGGCCUCAAAGAUAGUGGCGGCGCCGCCUGGCCCCGAGCGUAGUACGUCAAGACCCCGCUCCGGGACCUAGUGGUCGCCCGCCAGAACCCCUCCGUGGUUGACCUCGGAUCAGGUAGGGAUACCCGCUGAACUUAAGCAUAUCAAUAAGCGGAGGA